rnacentral:lncRNA from 1 species
AUUCGAGAGCUUUUAUUUUACAGGUUUGCUUGAUAAGGUGAUUUUAAAGAUGGCAACUUAAAAAUGGAAGCCCUCUCACUUGCAGGGAGAGCAACCUUAUUACAAUUUAUGUUGUCAUUAAUUCCUUAAGAUACAUUCUGUAUCUUGUGUUCCUGUUUCUUUAUCUAUUUUGUAUUAGUUGGAAAUGGAAUUCCGAGCAUUUCUAUGGGGC